CAUAAAAUAAAAUGAGAUAGAAAAAUGAGAGACAAAAGGAGGAGAGGAAAAGAAAGCAACGAACCAAAAAAAGCACCCUCUUAUUUCAAAAAUGGGGUCCAUACAAAUAUUGUCUGAUCUUCUCCCCUCUCAAAUCUUAAGAUGUGACCUCCAUCAUCUUCUUCCCCCACUUCCAUUACCCUCAUUCACCAUUUCUUGUCUCCUCCCCUCUUUCCUUUAAUUCAAAUAUUUAUUAUUAAAGAAAAUCUCAAUUUUUUAACUAAUAAUUAAUAUGUCCAACAUCACCAAUUUCUCAGACGAACAACCCUCUGUACAUGUAGUACAAAUGAUGUGUCCUGAAAACCACCAACAGGCCGUGGCGACUCCACCAGCCGCCCCGACACUAAGCCGAUACGAGUCUCAGAAGCGGAGAGACUGGAACACUUUUGGGCAGUACUUAAGGAACAUGAGGCCACCCGUGGCUGUAACACACUGCACGUGCCAUCACGUGUUGGAGUUCCUUAGGUACCUUGAUCAGUUUGGAAAAACUAAGGUUCACUUAAAUGGUUGUACUUUUUUUGGGCAGCCUGACCCUCCUGCUCCUUGUAGCUGCCCGCUCCGGCAAGCUUGGGGUAGUCUCGAUGCACUGAUCGGACGGUUGCGAGCUGCGUACGAGGAACAUGGUGGAUCUCCUGAGUCGAACCCGUUUGGAAAUGGGACGAUCAGGGUUUACUUAAGGGAGGUCAAGGAUUGUCAAGCUAAAGCAAGAGGAAUUCCUUACAAGAAGAAAAAGAAGAAGAGGAAGGUUUUAAAAUCAUGUGAUAAUGGAUCUUCUUCGAAUCGUCGAUUUUAAGAUACCUGUCUAGCUUGCUGCAUUAUCAUAUCUUUCUAGGAUGGAAACUGAAAACAACACCAAGUUCGUUGACUGCAUGCUCUAAAUCAUGCAUGGUCUAGAAUGCGAGCGAGGUAACCUAAAAUAAUCGACGAAUAUAAUGCAGCAUGAUCAUAUGGAUAUGAACAAUCCAUCAUCUCCUCCCGCGAUGUAUAAUUAAUUUGUUGUAAUACUAAUACUACGGAGUAAUAGUUAUACUUUGCAAACUUUUCGAUCUAGAGCACAAAAUGUUUACGUGUUGUUACCCUAAAAUCAUAUAUAUUAAUUA